rnacentral:rRNA from 1 species
AGAACUUAGCAGAGAUGCUUUGGGUGCCUUCGGGGAACUCUGAGACAGGUGCUGCAUGGCUGUCGUCAGCUCGUGUUGUGAAAUGUUGGGUUAAGUCCCGCAACGAGCGCAACCCUUAUCCUUUGUUGCCAGCGGUCCGGCCGGGAACUCAAAGGAGACUGCCAGUGAUAAACUGGAGGAAGGUGGGGAUGACGUCAAGUCAUCAUGGCCCUUACGAGUAGGGCUACACACGUGCUACAAUGGCGCAUACAAAGAGAAGCGACCUCGCGAGAGCAAGCGGACCUCAUAAAGUGCGUCGUAGUCCGGAUUGGAGUCUGCAACUCGACUCCAUGAAGUCGGAAUCGCUAGUAAUCGUGGAUCAGAAUGCCACGGUGAAUACGUUCCCGGGCCUUGUACACACCGCCCGUCACACCAUGGGAGUGGGUUGCAAAAGAAGUAGGUAGCUUAACCUUCGGGAGGGCGCUUACCACUUUGUGAUUCAUGACUGGGGUGAAGUCGUAACAAGGUAAGCGUAGUGCU